CUAAUUUGAAGGAUCGGUGGAUUUGAAUCCCCUACCUUCUAAACAUAGGGUAACCACUCUACCUACUUUGCAAGUCUUUUCUGGUUCCUCUGCCAUCCCCU